AUUGAACGCUGGCGGCAUGCCUUACACAUGCAAGUCGAACGGUAACGCGGGGCAACCUGGCGACGAGUGGCGAACGGGUGAGUAAUGCAUCGGAACGUGCCCAGUAGUGGGGGAUAGCCCGGCGAAAGCCGGAUUAAUACCGCAUACGACCUAAGGGUGAAAGGGGGGGAUCGCAAGACCUCUCGCUAUUGGAGCGGCCGAUGUCAGAUUAGGUAGUUGGUGGGGUAAAGGCCUACCAAGCCGACGACCUGUAGCGGGUCUGAGAGGACGACCAGCCACACUGGGACUGAGAGACGGCCCAGACUCCUACGGGAGGCGGCAGUGGGGAAUUUUGAACAAUGGGCGCAAGCCUGAUCCAGCCAUGCCGCGUGCGGGAAGAAGGCCUUCGGGUUGUAAACCGCUUUUGUCAGGGAAGAAACGCUCUGGGUUAAUACCCUGGGGUAAUGACGGUACCUGAAGAAUAAGCACCGGCUAACUACGUGCCAGCCGCCGCCGUAA
rnacentral:rRNA from 1 species